CCUACGGGAGGCAGCAGUGAGGAAUAUUGGUCAAUGGGCGGAAGCCUGAACCAGCCAAGUAGCGUGCAGGAUGACGGCCCUACGGGUUGUAAACUGCUUUUAUACGGGAAUAACGAGCCUUACGUGUAGGGCUUUGCAUGUACCGUAUGAAUAAGGACCGGCUAAUUCCGUGCCAGCAGCCGCGGUAAUACGGAGGGUCCGGGCGUUAUCCGGAUUUAUUGGGUUUAAAGGGAGCGUAGGCGGGAUGUCAAGCGUGCUGUGAAAUGUUCGGGCUCAACCCGGGCCUUGCAGCGCGAACUGGCGGGCUUGAGUCCGCGGAAGGCAGGCGGAAGUCGUCGUGUAGCGGUGAAAUGCUUAGAUAUGACGAAGAACCCCGAUUGCGAAGGCAGCUUGCUGCAGCGGAACUGACGCUGAUGCUCGAAAGCGCGGGUAUCGAACAGGAUUAGAUACCCUAGUAGUC
rnacentral:rRNA from 1 species